GCCGAGCAGAGCUGCUGAUGCAGUCUGCGCUGCUUCCACUACCCGCUCCGCAGGUUUAACUGCGCUGCCGCACACAGCAGCACCAGAAGCUACCCGCGUAACACAACGUGCAAUGGCCAGGGAGUAGUGUUCACGGGCAUAGAUGGUAAACCUGUGUAGUCUUCGCUGAGGGAUUAUUUGUUUUUGGUUUUGUUCCUGGAGGUGUGAUAUCGCAGCCAUGGUGUGCUGUCAGACUCCCAGAAGUUUACGCAGAAGCGACUGGGACUUCGCUCCUCUGCUGGCGGCCGCGCUGCUCAGCCUUCUGGUCGCAGGGAUGCAACAAACCACAGCGUUUCCCUCCUGGAGGUUAGAGGAAGAAGCUUACACCACUGUGUUGCUCAUCGGGAUCCGCAAAGAGGCUCGGUCACAAGUGCUUCACCUCUCCAGGAACAAGCGCUACACCCUCACCCCGGAGCAGCUCAAAUGGGACCAGUUCAAGCUAACAUACAAGUUGCUCUCCUUCCCUACAAACUUGAUAAAUGCCAGCGACACGCGGAGAGGCAUCGCCAAGGCUUUUGGCGUGUGGAGCGACGUCUCGCCGUUCAGCUUCAGAGAGGUGCCAGCUGACCAAGAGGCAGACAUUAAGAUCGGCUUCUACCCCGUCAACCACACAGACUGUCUGCAGUCCUACCUGCACCAUUGUUUUGACGGAAUCACAGGAGAAUUGGCUCAUGCAUUCUUCCCGCCAACUGGCGAGAUCCACUUCGACGAUCACGAAUACUGGAUUCUAGGAAACAUGCGCUUUAGUUGGAAGAAAGGGGUUUGGCUGACGGAUCUUGUCCAUGUGGCAACUCAUGAAAUUGGCCACGUCCUGGGACUCAUGCACUCACUCGACUCCAAAGCCAUAAUGCACCUGAAUGCAACUCUGACAGGACGCAAGCUAAUCACACAGGAUGAGGUGUGGGGUUUGCACCGUCUCUACGGAUGUUUGGACCGGUUAUUUAUCUGUCCGGCCUGGGCUCGGAAAGGCUAUUGCGAUAGCAAGCGCAAGCUGAUGCAGAAGCACUGCCCCUCCAGCUGUGAUUUCUGUUACGGUAAGACACAGCAGCAGAAAGCAGCAGCAGUCCACGGGGGAAAGAAAGACGUUUUCUCUCAACUGAGCAGCGCAAGGAGCUGCUGUGAAUCGUUUGCCAAUAGAGCAACGGGAGCCAACAGGUCCAGCCACGCAGAGCAGCGAUGGGGGUUUUCAAGAAUCUGAUUUGAAGGGAGAUUACACUUGCCACCGGAAGAGUUUGUGUUCGGUUCUGGAGGAUACCAGCAACCCUAGGGAGGAAAUGUUAGUUUUAGCCCCACACUGACAGAACAGAGCAGGUACCUGUCGGUUGCUGCCUCAACACCAAAUAUUGAUAACACAUCAGCAAUCCGACAGCAUAAGCCAGUUUAGUUGUAUUGUUGGAUGCACUGGUGCUCAGGCAUCCUGUUGCACAACAGGAAAUGGCUCCUUUAAACCAUCACAGCACAUAGAUUGUUGUGGCUUUCUGAGAUUUUUGUCAGCAACAAGGGACAGUGCGGGGAGAGGCAAGAGGAUACGAUUCCUGGCUCGCAGUAAUCUGUUCCUCAUUGUUGAUUGGGAGACGUUGUACGGCUGUGGAAAAUUCCUGAGUGACUCCAAACCGCUGGAAUUUCAGACUGUGGCUUGAGGGUUAGAGACACACAAGGUCAAUUUGGAUUUUUGCGGCAUUAACGAGAGCGACUGUUUUUUAAGCAGACUUUGAGUUGAUCACAGGGCGGCCUGUUGCGUUUGUCAGAAACCAGAUGGGAGAGAUUAUAUUGAUAAGACACCCGCGGCGCCGGCAGCGUGUCUGACGUGAUAAGGUUUGCGUCACAACUUUUAAAAGAAUUUCCUUUCCCCACUGUGGCUCCCACCCCGGCGGCCCCGAGGACCAAACACAAGCUGGUCGUCGAGGGCAAGAAGCUCACUUUUCGAUGUGGGAAGAAAAUAGCAUCAAAGAAAGGCAAAGUACA